rnacentral:rRNA from 1 species
CAGUAGCCGCGGGAAUACGAAGGGUGCAAGCGUUAAUCGGAAUUACUGGGCGUAAAGCGUGCGUAGGCGGUUUGUUAAGUCUGCUGUGAAAUCCCCGGGCUCAACCUGGGAACUGCAUUGGUGACUGCAACGCUGGAGUGCGGCAGAGGGGGAUGGAAUUCCGCGUGUAGCAGUGAAAUGCGUAGAUAUGCGGAGGAACACCGAUGGCGAAGGCAAUCCCCUGGGCCUGCACUGACGCUCAUGCACGAAAGCGUGGGGAGCAAAUAGGAUUAGAUACCCGCGUAGUCCCUGUCUCUUAUAA